GACGAACGCUGGCGGCGUGCUUAACACAUGCAAGUCGAACGGAAAGGCCCUGCUUUUGUGGCGUGCUCGAGUGGCGAACGGGUGAGUAACACGUGAGUAACCUGCCCUUGACUUUGGGAUAACUUCAGGAAACUGGGGCUAAUACCGGAUAGGAGCUCCUGCUGCUUGGUGGGGGUUGGAAAGUUUCGGCGGUUGUGGAUGGAGUCGCGGCUUAUCAGCUUGUUGGUGGGGUAGUGGCUUACCAAGGCUUUGACGGGUAGCCGGCCUGAGAGGGUGACCGGCCACAUUGGGACUGAGGUACGGCCCAGACGCCUACGGGAGGCAGAAGUGGGAAAUAUUGCACAAUGGGCGGAAGCCUGAUGCAGCGACGCCGCGUGCGGGAUGACGGCCUUUGGGUUGUAAACCGCUUUCGCCUGAGACGAAGCGUGAGUGACGGUAAUGGGUAAAGAAGCAACGGCUAACUACGUG
rnacentral:rRNA from 1 species